rnacentral:rRNA from 1 species
AGAGUUUGAUCAUGGCUCAGAACGAACGCUGGCGGCGUGGAUAAGACAUGCAAGUCGAACGCGAUUUAUCGAGUUAGCAAUAACUUGGUAAAUUGAGUGGCGAAAGGGUGCGUAACACGUGGGAAAUUACCAAGAAGUGGGGAAUAGCUUGGCGAAAGCCAAAUUAAUACCGCAUAUGAUCGCAAGAUCAAAGUCGGGGACCGCAAGGCCUGACGCUUUUUGAGAUGCCCGCGGCCCAUCAGCUAGUUGGUGAGGUAAAAGCUCACCAAGGCUAUGACGGGUAGCUGGUCUGAGAGGACGACCAGCCACACUGGAACUGAGACACGGUCCAGACACCUACGGGUGGCAGCAGUCGAGAAUUUUUCACAAUGGACGAAAGUCUGAUGGAGCGACGCCGCGUGGAGGAUGAAGGUUUUCGGAUUGUAAACUCCUGUCACUGCAGAACAAGGGUAUGCCAGUUAACAGCCGGCGUAUUUGAUGGUAUACGGAGAGGAAGGGACGGCUAACUCUGUGCCAGCAGCCGCGGUAAGACAGAGGUCCCGAGCGUUGUUCGGAUUCAUUGGGCGUAAAGGGUGUGUAGGAGGUAGGGUAAGUCAGGUGUGAAAUCUCAGAGCUUAACUCUGAAACUGCGCUUGAUACUGCUCUGCUAGAGGAUCGGAGGGGGUAUCGGAAUUUAUGGUGUAGCAGUGAAAUGCGUAGAUAUCAUAAGGAACACCGGUGGCGAAGGCGGAUACCUGGAAGAUUCCUGACUCUGAAACACGAAAGCCAGGGGAGCAAACGGGAUUAGAUACCCUAGUAGUCC